rnacentral:rRNA from 1 species
CCUACGGGAGGCAGCAGUGAGGAAUAUUGGUCAAUGGACGAGAGUCUGAACCAGCCAAGUAGCGUGAAGGAUGACUGCCCUAUGGGUUGUAAACUUCUUUUAUAAAGGAAUAAAACGAGGCACGUGUGCCUUUUUGCAUGUACUUUAUGUAUAAGGAUCGGCUAACUCCGUGCCAGCAGCCGCGCUAAUACGGAGGAUCCGAGCGUUAUCCGGAUUUAUUGGGUUUAAAGGGAGCGUAGAUGGGUUGUUAAGUCAGUUGUGAAAGUUUGCGGCUCAACCGUAAAAUUGCAAUUGAUACUGGCAGUCUUGAGUACAGUAGAGGUAGGCGGAAUUCGUGGUGUAGCGGUGAAAUGCUUAGAUAUCACGAAGAACCCCGAUGGCGAAGGCAGCUUACUAAACUGUGACUGACAUUGAGGCUCGAAAGUGUGGGUAGCAAACAGGAUUAGAUACCCUAGUAGUC